rnacentral:rRNA from 1 species
AAUAGCCUGACGGCUGAACCAGCAACUUGGAGGAAUGUAUAUCGACUCUGUCGAAUAAAGUUCUAGUUAAGUUAUGAUAAUGACAUUUCUUAACUAUGUGUCUUGACCAAAUCACGUGCCAGCAGUCGCGGUAAUACGUGGAAGACUAGUGUUAUUCAUCUUUAACAGGUUUAAAGGGUACCUAGACGGUAAAUCAAGCCCCAAAGGGGACUAAUUUACUAGAGUUUAAUAAGAGAGGGGGAGUACUGAUGAGUGGAGCGAUUAAAUUUUAUGAUACCAUUAGGAACAGACAAAGGCGAAAGCGACCUUUUACAUAAAACUGACGUUGAGGGACGAAGGCUUUAGUAGUGAACAGGAUUAGAUACCCAAGUAAUUAAAGCAGACAAUGAUGAAUGUCAUAGAUUAGUACUUUUUUUUUGCUUGUAUUGAUAAAGCUUGUAUUGAUAAAAACCAUAAAAAUCAAAAAAGUGUACUAUUAAUCUAUAAAUGAAAGUGUAAGCAUUCCACCUCAAGAGUAAUGUGGCAACGCAGAAACUGAAAUCAUUAGACCGUUUCUGAAACCAGUAGUGAAGUAUGUUGUUUAAUUAGAUAAUCCGCAAAAGACCUCACCACAAUUUGUAUAUUAUUAUUUUAUAAUAAUACAAGCGUUGCACGGCUGUCUUCAGUUAAUGUCGUGAGAUUAGGUUAGUUCCAUUAAAUUAACGUAAACCCUUGCUUUAUUUAUAUUAUAAAGUAGAUCACCGCUAUAUUGGAUGUGAUAAUAGGGACUAAGACAAGUCAUCAUGGCCUGAAUAUUGUGGGCGAUAGACGUGCCACAUAAUCGGAGACAAAGGGAUGCAAAAUUGUGAAAUAAAGCUAAUCCCCUAAAAUCCGAUAAAAUAU